GAUGAACGCUGGCGGCGUGCCUAAUACAUGCAAGUCGAGCGAACGGACGAGAAGCUUGCUUCUCUGAUGUUAGCGGCGGACGGGUGAGUAACACGUGGAUAACCUACCUAUAAGACUGGGAUAACUUCGGGAAACCGUAGCUAAUACCGGAUAAUAUUUUGAACCGCAUGGUUCAAAAGUGAAAGACGGUCUUGCUGUCACUUAUAGAUGGAUCCGCGCUGCAUUAGCUAGUUGGUAAGGUAACGGCUUACCAAGGCAACGAUGCAUAGCCGACCUGAGAGGGUGAUCGGCCACACUGGAACUGAGACACGGUCCAGACUCCUACGGGAGGCAGCAGUAGGGAAUCUUCCGCAAUGGGCGAAAGCCUGACGGAGCAACGCCGCGUGAGUGAUGAAGGUCUUCGGAUCGUAAAACUCUGUUAUAGGAAGAACAUAUGUGUAAGUAACUGUGCACAUCUUGACGGUACCUAAUCAGAAAGCCACGGCUAACUACGUG
rnacentral:rRNA from 1 species